GGGAAUGCUGGGAAAUGGUGGGGGAAUUAGAAUUGGAUUUGAUAUUGGUGGUGGAUCUGGUACAUUUGCUGUUAGAAUGGCUGAAAGGAAUGUGACUAUAGUUACUGCUACGUUGAAUGUCGAUGCACCAUUUAACGAGUUCAUUGCUGCACGGGGUGUAUUCCCGUUGUAUUUGAGUUUAGAUCAUCGGUUUCCCUUUCAUGAUAAUGUGUUUGAUUUGGUACAUGUGGGAAAUGUAUUGGAUGUGAGCGGACGUCCUGAGAAGUUAGAGUUUUUAGUGUUUGAUAUUGAUAGAGUUUUGAGGGCUGGAGGGUUGUUUUGGUUGGAUAACUUUCUUUGUUCAAAUGAAGACAAGAAAACUGCAUUAACGAGGCUGAUCGAACGUUUUGGGUACAAAAAGCUUAAAUGGGUUGUUGGUGAGAAGAUCAAUGGGUCGGGAAAAUCUGAGGUUUAUUUGUCUGCUGUUCUACAGAAACCAGUAAGAGUUUGAUCGUAUCGCGGGGUUUCUCAUAGAAAAGCUGUGCAUGUUCAUUAUUGACAUAGAAUAAGUGAACGUAUUCGUCUUCUUUUACACAACUGCUAACCAGCAUCAUAGGAGGGAGGCGGGUUCGGCUUUGUGGCAGGUAUUAUAUGUCUACGAUCUCUAAGAUUAUUCACUUAUCUUUGGCAUUGAACUAGAUAUUGCUGGCAUUGGCAUGAGCCUUUUGUCUGUGUCAAUUGUUAAUUUGAGUUUAGGAAGAAAAGAAAACGAAGCUUUUUUCCAAAUUUCAUUGUAUUGUUGGGAUAUAAGUUAAAAUCCUCUGAUAUUGUCCCCU
rnacentral:misc_RNA from 1 species